rnacentral:rRNA from 1 species
GACGAACGCUGGCGGCGUGCUUAACACAUGCAAGUCGAACGGGCCCGCCCCUGUUUUUGGGGGUGGGUUGAGUGGCGAACGGGUGAGUAUCACGUGAGUAACCUGCCCCCUGCUCCUGGAUAACUGCUUGAAAGGGCGGCUAAUACGGGGUGUGCCGGCUGGUCCGCAUGGGCCUGGUCGGGAUAGUUUCAUCUUCGGGUGUUUCGGUGGGGGAUGGGCUCGCGGCCUAUCAGCUUGUUGGUGGGGUGAUGGCCCACCAAGGCGGUGACGGGUAGCCGGCAUGAGAGGGGAGGCGGCCACACUGGGACUGAGACACGGCCCAGACUCCUGCGGGAGGCAGCAGUGGGGGGUAUUGCACAAUGGGCGGAAGCCUGAUACAGCGACGUCGCGUGAGGGAGGGAGGCCUUCGGGUUGUGAACCUCUUUCUCCGGUGGUGAAGGCCCUGUCCGUUGCGGCGGGGUUGACGGUAGCCGGGUAUGAAGCGCCGGCGAACUACGU